rnacentral:RNase_P_RNA from 1 species
UCAGUCGGCCGGACGGCCGCUCCGGCGAUCACCGAAAGGUGGCCGGGGAGGAAAGUCCGGGCUCCAUGGACGAACGGUGCCGGAUAACGUCCGGCGGGUGGCGAUCUCCUCGCGGAGACACGUGCUCAGGGAAAGUGCCACAGAAAGCAAACCGCCGAUCUGGAUCGAAAAGAUUUGGUCGGUAAGGGUGAAAAGGUGCGGUAAGAGCGCACCGCGCUUGUGGCGACACAGGCGGCACGGCAAACCCCACCGGGAGCAAGACCGAAUAGGAACGGCAGAGGAGCAAUCCUCGAUCAGUCCUGAUCCGCCGUUCGGGUAGGUUGCUUGAUGCGCCGGGUAACCGGCGUGCAAGAGGAAUGGCCGUCACGUACGUCACUUCGGUGGCGUGCCAUACAGAACCCGGCUUACAGGCCGGCUGAUACG